AUAUAUAUAGUAGGUAUGUAUGUGCAAGUCGGCCACAUUUGAAAGGUAAAAUGACUGGUUUGGACACUGGAGUGAAAUCCCAUACCACAAUAUACAGGCGGGGACCAGGAGCCGGCAUCCCUUCACUGCCCUGUACGGUGUGCUCUUCAAUGUGCCUAUUGCUAUCAAUGUGCAGGUGGGUGGGUGUAUUCCCAGGUGGAGGAGCUCUUCACCGUGCAGGUGGGUGGGUGUAUCCCCCAGGUGGAGGAGCUCUUCACCGUGCAGGUGGGUGGGUGUAUCCCCCAGGUGGAGGAGCUCUUCACCGUGCAGGUGGGUGGGUGUAUCCCCCAGGUGGAGGAGCUCUUCACCGUGCAGGUGGGUGGGUGUAUUCCCUAGGUGGAGGAGCUCUUCACCGUGCAGGUGGGUGGGUGUAUCCCCCAGGUGGAGGAGCUCUUCACCGUGCAGGUGGGUGGGUGUAUCCCCCAGGUGGAGGAGCUCUUCACCGUGCAGGUGGGUGGGUGUAUCCCCCAGGUGGAGGAGCUCUUCACCGUGCAGGUGGGUGGGUGUAUCCCCCAGGUGGAGGAGCUCUUCACCGUGCAGGUGGGUGGGUGUAUCCCCCAGGUGGAGGAGCUCUUCACCGUGCAGGUGGGUGGGUGUAUCCCCCAGGCGAUGUUCUACACUACCCUCCCGUUGCAAGUAUAACAGUGUUCUCUAGCGUAAGUGUAUUUCCAAGCUUCAGGCUGUUAUGACUUUAGUGUCAGUAUUAUGGAACACUUCCUCAGCAACAAUCUGUUAUGCAUAUUACCCAGGAAUGUUCUCCUGCUAAUUUGUUGUAUCGUAAUUAGUUUUUCCGUGAUAAAUUGUGUAGGAAAAGUAUCUUUUUAUGUUCUGCACCUGCUCCUCUUUCAGAAGGCAUUCGUUUGAUAGUUUACUAGUAAGCCCCUAGUUGUGAAAGUAUAUUACGCUAGAUUACUUCAGGAAGAAGUAUUCUUCUAUUUCAAGAAGUGCCGUACAGCAGCCGGCACACGAGUAUAUUACGUACCCUCUGUGGUAUAUUUGCAGGUAUAUUAUGUCAGCUUGAACGUGUUAGACACAAAUAAUCAAGUAGAGUAUAGACUACCACUGGGACUGAAAGCUGCACAACACACAUUAUUGAUGAAUGCGAGAUGUAGAUGAUAUUUUGUUAUCUGUUCACACUAAUUCAUCCAACGGCCAAGAGGCAAUGCAUUAGUGUGUGUGCUUACCAAUACUCUUAACGUGUCUUAAGGGAGACUGGGUGUCACUGACUUCUUUGAGUGUCACUGACUUCUUUGAGUGUCACUGACUUCUUUGAGUGUCACUGACUUCUUUGAGUGUCACUGACUUCUUUGAGUGUCACUGACUUCUUUGAGUGUCACUGACUUCUUUGAGUGUCACUGACUUCUUUGAGUGUCACUGACUUCUUUGAGUGUCACUGACUUCUUUGAGUGUCACUGACUUCUUUGAGUGUCACUGACUUCUUUGAGUGUCACUGACUACUUUGACUUCACUGUUACAGGUAACAACAUGUGAAUGAUUGUACGGCUGUUGUAAAACCUUUGCAACAUGGUGAUGCAAUUUUAAUCUUCUGGUGAUGAUCUGACAAAUGGUGCACGAAGCUUUUGGGGAAAAAAACUAAGCCAAAAGGAUAAUCAAAAUGCUGCAAACAAAAAUAAACAAAAAGAAUAAGUCAGCAAAUCACCUGAGAAGAGGAAAAAUCGAGUCGUUGAUAACUAAGGAAUUUGUGUAUAUAUUUAUGUUAAAAUAAUCUUGGAGAUGCUAUUCUUUCACAGUGUUUUAUAUUGUAAGUAAAUUAUUUUACUAAAUCCCUGUAAAUCUAUUCGGAGAAACUGAAAUAAAUGUUAUGUACGCAA